ensembl:lncRNA
UUUUCAAAAUCACCGUUUAAACUAAGAAACUGAGAGUAGCUAUCACUUUAGCCAAAUGAUGUGUAUGUUUUAAAAAUACGAACCACCUGCAAACACAAAUGGCAACACAAAACUAUCUGAAUUCUUCAAACCUUCAAAAGCUGCUGCAAAAACCAACAGGAAAUGUUUAAUCAGCAUCACUUUCUUGCCACUAUAUAAAGAUUUGUGAACCGAUUCAAUUCUUUUUAUUUAUACAGGGCCAAUCACAACAUCGGUCUCCUCGAGGGGCUUCAUGUUGUUAGGAAGUGCUGUGCAUUCAGAUGAGGUCAGGGGUUAACCGCACUCUCACACAGCAUGGCAAUACUAAGCCAAGACCGGAAAUAAUAUGUUCAGGUUGUUUUCCUCCCUUUCCUGGAUGUAAAAGAGAUGAGCCCAUCAGUGCCACAAAUCUACAGUCCCUCUGAUGGCCACUUGGUGUUCGUGUCAAAAGUGAAUCAAUCUCCACUGACUCUGAUUUUAAAAUGCACAACUUUACAGCACAAAUAAACACGUUUAAAGUUUAGUGCAAAGCAGUCUCAGCAAAGUG